CCUAUUGGUUCGGAACAACUGAGGGAAACUUCAGCUAAUACCGAAUGUGCCCUAACGGGGAAAGAUUUAUCGCCAAUGGAUUAGCCCGCGUCCGAUUAGCUAGUUGGUGAGGUAACGGCUCACCAAGGCUCCGAUCGGUAGCUGUUCUGAGAGGAAGAUCAGCCACACUGGGACUGAGACACGGCCCAGACUCCUACGGGAGGCAGCAGUUGGGAAUCUUGGACAAUGGGGGAAACCCUGAUCCAGCCAUGCCGCGUGAGUGAUGAAGGCCUUCGGGUUGUAAAACUCUUUCGACGGGGACGAUAAUGACGGUACCCGUAGAAGAAGCUCCGGCUAACUUCGUGCCAGCAGCCGCGGUAAUACGAAGGGGGCUAGCGUUGUUCGGAAUUACUGGGCGUAAAGCGCGCGCAGGCGGUCUUUCAAGUCAGUGGUGAAA
rnacentral:rRNA from 1 species